AUCCAUUUUCCCCUAGAACUGAAACUGUGAAGACUUUUAUAGUCUGUACACUAAGCAGUAUGAAGACCCAGUAUCAAAUUAAAAUAAGUGGACAGUCCCAGACUUCAGUGACAAAGCGCCUUGAUUCCAGCAGUGAUUCCCCAGUCUGCUUUCGCUUUGGGUUUCCAUUGUGACCAUUAACUGCUGAAACUGAGCCCAGAGCCCAUGAUCACAAGAUCUGAACGUCGUUGCGAGGGAUCCUAAAGAGGAAGCAAGAGCUGAGAUGCCUAGUGAAGCAGGAAUCAUCCUGGAACUGUCAGGAUGGGAGUUGGAACACUAAGAAAGGAACAAACGGGGAAUGCCAAUUCAUCUGGAACUUCAGAGUGUUGAGAGUACUAUCAGGAUGAAAACUGCCACCAGCUGCUGCUAAGAAGCUGUCAUCAGUCAGCAUUUUGGGACUCUUCCAAACCUAACUUGCUGGGCAGUCCAAAGCAAUGGGUGUUCUGUUUAUGUUAUAAUUCUUAAGAGUUGAGAAAGUAGCAAUUAGUGGGAAAACUAUAUAGCUGAUGUUUGUACUGGAAGAAGUCCAGUUGGGUAUCUUGUCUAGAUAACAGUUACUUUCUUAAUAUUUGAAAGCUCAGUCUUGCUAGAGGUUGUUGUUAGGACCCAAGACCAUCAGAAUUACAGAGUGGUUCCAUCUGCUCUAUUCCCUGUACAUUCGUCCAGCUUCUUUGAUCUAUUUAAUAUAGCCUUGUGUGAGAUAUACACCAUUGGCUUUGGAAUAAUUUUUAGAACUGCUUGACAGGAUGUAAAUAUCAUAACUGUUCGUUAAGGGAGAAUAAGAGGCACCUAGAUGGCUCAGUUGGUUAAGUGUCCGACUCUUGAUUUUGACUCGGGUUGUGAUCUCACGGUUAGUGAGUUUGAGCCCCAUGUUGGGCUCUGCGCUGAUAGCAUAGAGACUGCUUGGGAUUCUGUCUGUCUCUCUUCAAUGGAAAAUAAAAUACAGCCUUAUUUAUAAAGGCAGGGCAGCACUAUCCUUUGAUAAUGACACAACUGACGCCAGGGCAUUCUGGAGUUUGCUAAAGAAAAUGACAGAAGGUGUUGAUGAUUUUCACUGGCAAUUCAAAUUAGAAAAGUAUCUAAAUUUUCCUACCAGAAUAGAAACCUCUCAAAUGAUGCAAGAAAGCUGAAAACUAAACAAAAGAAUGCUUAUACAUCUUCUGAAUUUCUACUUCAUAAUCAAUUUGAACUCAUGAAAUGUAUUCCUAUACCUUAAAGAGAAAUUCUGUCUACCUCAGGAGGUCUUUGGCAGCUCCAACUAUGCCUUGCUCACCCUGAUGACUGCAUCUCUCCACGUUGGCUCUCACUGGGUAAUUGGCUUGCUUGCUUCCUUCUACUUUAAGCUGUACACAAUGCUUGUUGGGCUGGUUACUCUGGCCACAGGCCCCAGCUGCUUCAUCUUUUCUCUUUGUACUGCUGCAAGUAGAAACCCAUAGGGCCCAAUUACUGCAGAUACCUCUUUUCUCUAAUAGCAACAUCAGUGCCAAGAAGCUGGAUUUUUAUUACCAAGAAUGGGACUUAUAUUUAUUUUAUUUGCUUCUAAAAUGAAUCCUUUAAAAUUGAGGGUGCAUUUCCUUUGGAAAAUACGUCAUUAUUGUCUACUGCCAUAAAAACAAUGUAAUAAAAGGGAAGCUAAGCUCUAAAUAGGGUUUUGCUUUUUAUUAAAUAACUAAUAUAACCCCAAAUAAUUUAUCCUCUAUUAUUUUAGUUACAGUAACAGCAUUUCCCUAAAUUUGCAAACCGAAGGUUUGAUUCUAUUACAUUAUCUAUCAGUGAAGAUCAUUAGUCUACUUAGUGAUGAUUCAGAAGCCACAGUAGGAUUCUUAAAGUACAAUUAUUAACCAAGAUAAAAGAUAUUAGUGAAACAUCAAUUUAGAUGAAAACUUUCAGUCCCAUUUUAUUUCAUCUGGUAUUUAUUUUAACCCAUUAUUAAAGUCUAACCAUAUAUAUAUAUAUUAUGGAUUACUCUUAACCUCACUUAUAGGUAAAUUCAGUGCAUUGAUUUUUAACUUAAAAAAUGGAUAGAGUGGGGUGCCUGGGUGGCUCAGUCGGUUGAGCGUCUGACUUCGGCUCAGGUCAUGAUCUCACAGAUAGUGGGUUCG